rnacentral:rRNA from 1 species
GACGAACGCUGGCGGCGUGCUUAACACAUGCAAGUCGAACGGAAAGGCCCUGCUUUUGUGGGGUGCUCGAGUGGCGAACGGGUGAGUAACACGUGAGUAACCUGCCCUUGACUUUGGGAUAACUUCAGGAAACUGGGGCUAAUACCGGAUAGGAGCUCCUGCUGCAUGGUGGGGGUUGGAAAGUUUCGGCGGUUGGGGGUGGACUCGCGGCUUAUCAGCUUGUUGGUGGGGUUGUUGCUUACCAAGGCUUUGACGGGUAGCCGGCCUGAGAGGGUGACCGGGCACAAUGGGGCUGAUGUACCGCCCACAAUACUAACGGAGGCGAGCGUUGGGAAUAUUGCACAAUGGGCGGAAGCCUGAUGCAGCAACGCCGCGUGCGGGAUGACGGCCUUCGGGUUGUAAACCGCUUUCGCCUGUGACGAAGCGUGAGUGACGGUAAUGGGUAAAGAAGCACCGGCUAACUACGUG